GCGGGUGCGGGAGCGCCCCGCCUGCGGCCCGGGGUCCCGGGGUCCGGGAGUCCCGGAGCGCGGCCCCCGCAGCAGGUCGCCCGGAGCCGGCGGCUGCCCCUGAGCUGGAGGAAGAUGCUGGACUUGGGGAUUUCGCACGCCAUGACGUAUUCAUGCCUCUGUCCUCCGGGUCCCGGGCUGGAUGGGCGGCUCCGGGAGAGGGGGCCCGGGGCGGGGCUGGGCGGUGAGUCCUGCCGCCGUCCACCGUCCGCCGUCCGCUGUCCGCUGUCCGCCAUCCGCCGGGGAAUGUCCCUCCCCGGAGGGAGGCGCGCCCCCGCCCGCGCCCGAGUUAAACAGAAGAGGAAUAAUUUAAUAGCAAGCAUUUUGAGAUUUCAAAACAAUACUUGAGAUAUUCUAUUUUCAGAAGUACAAAUCUGCAGUGCAAUCAGAUUCAAGGAUUUGGAUGACUAAAGUAGAUGAUCAGUCAUAAAGAGUCCCAAAAUAAUCAGUAUGCGAGCCAGUGGAUUGACAUUCUUGGAUCCGGUCUAAACAUUCUGAUGAACAGUUCCACAGCAGAUAUGUCAGCAUGACUUCUUGUUCAAUGGUUUUAUUUGGAUUGCCUUCCAGGAUUCCCAGGACUGUGUUAAGCAGAGCAAUUAUAAUAGUUUAAAGAGUAGGAGCAAGAAACAACCCACAUGUAAUAAAAUAUGAAGAAAAAGAGGACACCUGGAACAUGCCUGUGCUGGCUUUUCUGCAGCGAGAUGGAGACCAUUCGUCAGCCUCUGUGAGCCCGCAGCCUCCCCUCAGUGCCUGGCGUGGGCAGCUAUGCGGUCAGCGAGUGGGAUGCAAGCUUAUCCAUAAAGUAAGGACGUGAGCGUGAGAGGAAAAGGACAGAUCUGAAUGGAAGGACAACGGGGGAGAGAGAACUCCGGUCAACAAGCCUGGGAGGUGUGGAGUGAUGGAGACGGCAGCACAGUACCUCCCACCCCCACCCCGAUGUUUGCUCGGCCUCUUGAAGAUGAUUGCUUGUAUUUCUGCCUCAGAGCUUCCCAUGAACUUCCCUGAUACAUGAAGUGAAAAGAAAGACUGCGGGAGCUGAUCAGAGAGCGUAAUAAACACAGCGGGUGCCCGUGUUCCUGCCCCGGAGGCUCACGCCUGUGGAAUGUGUCAGAUUUGAAACUGGCACGUGGAGCCAGCGCCAGGCGUGCCCCCCCCCCCCCAGCAGAACAUCUGAUUAAACACAAGGGGAACUGUACUGCUUUCGUUCAGCCUGUUCUCUGCUGACACAAACCAUUCUCUGAUAUCAAAUGGAAACGAGCGGAAUUAGCAUGGGAAGGGCCAUUCUUGCUGUCUGGUUUUUAUUCUCAGUAUCCCCACAUUUCCUGGUCCUUUGUAAAUUCAUUUUCUUUUAAUACCCAAAUGUAAUAGCCUGAAUCCUCGCUCUGCGUGACUGAGAAAACCAGUCCCCUCCGGAUAUUUCUAAAGAGGUUGCCAAGCACUUACACGCCCCAAGUGUUGCUUCUCACGUACCCCCAGCCUCCCACCCCGUGGCACCUUCCCCGGCUCUGCCUAUAGCUGUCUCCUCACUCUUUCUCAUUCUACUCCUCCUUCUGCUCUGCUCCAACCCCAGUGUGAACACUGGCCCUUCCUCUGUUCUCCCCACUUAACUCCCUAACUGAGCUGGUGUGUGUGGAGGCAGGGGUGAGAGUCUAAAUAUUUAACAACUGCA